rfam:Aedes albopictus isolate Foshan contig128713, whole genome shotgun sequence.
UAGCCUAGUGGCUAAGGCUAUGGAUCGCCAAUCCGGAGAUGGCGGGUUCGAUUCCCGU